CAGGAUGCUAGUGUUUAUCUUAAAGAUUUAGUUGGUUCUUUUUCAUGUUUUUUGGAUAAUUUAUUAUGCACGUGUGCAUACGAGUGGUUUUCGGUUUCGUUUGAAAUGUGGGAAAGCUAGUUUUAUGAUUUUCUCAGGAAAAAGUGGUCUGGACACUUGAGUGUUAUCUCUGUUUGAAACUAAAUAAUAUUCUAAUUUACUACGUUUGAAAAAAUAUAAUUGGGAAUUGGGACUUAUAUACUAAUUGUGGGUAAGACUCGACAGUUGAUAAGGUAAAUGAAAAAUUGAGCUAGCGCCAUCAGGUGGCUAAUGGUAGGGACGUAACAAUACCAAUGAAUUGGAGGUAUCCAAAUAUUUUGGUCAUUUUUUUGUUGGCAUUUUUUGGAACACUUUCUAUUCCACUGAAGACUGCUUGAUGGGAAGGGCGGGCCAUCGAGUGCCUUGGAAUGACAUAAAACGUGCGACCUAAUCUCGAAUUCGUCAGCAGUUUAGGAAAAAGGUUUAUGCAGUUUUGAAUAGAGAGAUUCUUUGAGGUAUCAACUGUGGUGAUGGUGGUGGAACUCACAGAAAAGGAUAAGGUGAAUGGCCCUAUUAUAUGUUCGAUAUUUCCAUUUUUACAAAAUCCAGUGUAACGAUUUUUGAAGUCUCUAUUCCGCUUAUCAAGUAAUUUAAUAUAUGAUAAACAUGUACAUUUUGUUAUGUACUGUAAUGUUUUGUUUACAGUAAUUGUAAAAAGAGAGAAAUUCAUUUCUCGCUGUAGUGUUUUAUACUGUAAUUUUAUUAACUGUAAAAAAUAAAUAUAUAUAUAGGCUAGUA